AGUGAACGUUCGCGGCGUGGAUUAGGCAUGCAAGUCGAGCGAGAACCGUAGCAAUACGGGGACAGCGGCGAAAGGGACAGUAAUGUGUAGGUACCUACCCCGAGGUCUGGGAUAGCUGCGGGAAACUGCAGGUAAUACCGGAUAAUGUCCUCGGACCAAAGGUGUGAUUCCACCUUGGGAGGGGCCUGCAUCCUAUUAGCUAGUUGGCGGGGUAAUGGCCCACCAAGGCGACGAUGGGUAGCGGGUGUGAGAGCACGACCCGCGUCAUUGGGACUGAGACACUGCCCAGACACCUACGGGUGGCUGCAGUCGAGGAUCUUCGGCAAUGGGCGAAAGCCUGACCGAGCGACGCCGCGUGCGGGAUGAAGGCCUUCGGGUUGUAAACCGCUGUCGUAGAGGAGGAAAUGCAGGUGGGUUCUCCCAUCUGUUUGACCUAUUCUAGGAGGAAGUACGGGCUAAGUUCGUGCCAGCCGCCGCCGUAA
rnacentral:rRNA from 1 species